UAAAAAGCUUGCUUUUUAAGUUAGCGGCGGACGGGUGAGUAACACGUGGGCAACCUGCCUGUAAGACUGGGAUAACUUCGGGAAACCGGAGCUAAUACCGGAUAAUCCUUUUCUACUCAUGUAGAAAAGCUGAAAGACGGUUUACGCUGUCACUUACAGAUGGGCCCGCGGCGCAUUAGCUAGUUGGUGAGGUAACGGCUCACCAAGGCGACGAUGCGUAGCCGACCUGAGAGGGUGAUCGGCCACACUGGGACUGAGACACGGCCCAGACUCCUACGGGAGGCAGCAGUAGGGAAUCUUCCGCAAUGGACGAAAGUCUGACGGAGCAACGCCGCGUGAGUGAUGAAGGUUUUCGGAUCGUAAAACUCUGUUGUUAGGGAAGAACAAGUACGAGAGUAACUGCUCGUACCUUGACGGUACCUAACCAGAAAGCCACGGCUAACUACGUGCCAGCAGCCGCGGUAAUACGUAGGUGGCAAGCGUUGUCCGGAAUUAUUGGGCGUAAAGCGCGCGCAGGCGGUCCUUUAAGUCUGAUGUGAAAGCCCACGGCUCAACCGUGGAGGGUCAUUGGAAACUGGGGGACUUGAGUGCAGAAGAGAAGAGUGGAAUUCCACGUGUAGCGGUGAAAUGCGUAGAGAUGUGGAGGAACACCAGUGGCGAAGGCGACUCUUUGGUCUGUAACUGACGCUGAGGCGCG
rnacentral:rRNA from 1 species